UACGUAGGGGGCAAGCGUUGUCCGGAAUCAUUGGGCGUAAAGAGCGUGUAGGCGGCUCGAUAAGUCUGCUGUGAAAGUCCAGGGCUCAACCCUGGAAGGCCGGUGGAAACUGUCGGGCUAGAGUCCGGAAGAGGCGAGUGGAAUUCCCGGUGUAGCGGUGAAAUGCGCAGAUAUCGGGAAGAACACCCGUGGCGAAGGCGGCUCUCUGGGACGGUACUGACGCUGAGACGCGAAAGCGUGGGGAGCGAACAGG
rnacentral:rRNA from 1 species